rnacentral:rRNA from 1 species
CAGUAGUCACGAGUUUGAUCAUGGCUACAGAACGAACGCUGGCGGCAUGCCUAACACAUGCAAGUCGAACGAGACCUUCGGGUCUAGUGGCGCACGGGUGCGUAACGCGUGGGAAUCUGCCCUUUGCUUCGGAAUAACAGUUAGAAAUGACUGCUAAUACCGGAUGAUGUCUUCGGACCAAAGAUUUAUCGGCAAAGGAUGAGCCCGCGUAGGAUUAGGUAGUUGGUGGGGUAAAGGCCUACCAAGCCGACGAUCCUUAGCUGGUCUGAGAGGAUGAUCAGCCACACUGGGACUGAGACACGGCCCAGACUCCUACGGGAGGCAGCAGUGGGGAAUAUUGGACAAUGGGCGAAAGCCUGAUCCAGCAAUGCCGCGUGAGUGAUGAAGGCCUUCGGGUCGUAAAGCUCUUUUACCAGGGAUGAUAAUGACAGUACCGAGAGAAUAAGCCCCGGCUAACUCCGUG